rnacentral:lncRNA from 1 species
AAUUAAUCUAUUUUUAUCUACUUCUAAUUAAUCAUAUAAGAAAUUAUUGGAAUAAAUAUGUAUGUCCAUGACAAUAACAUCUUUAAAAGUCAUCUCCUUGCAAUAGGUGUGCAUCAUGCCUGGAUCAUCAUUCUCAAUACCAUCAAUAAAUUGAUCAUUCUACCUAACAGACUCUAACCAUAAUUUAUGCUAAUAGAUUGAAAUGCAUAAUAAAAAUAUUUACACUACAUAAAAAUCAUGGAACAAUACAUUCAAAAUAUCUUCAUUGUUAGCAUCAUUG